GUGCCAGCCGCCGCGGUAAGACGAAGGGGGCUAGCGUUGUUCGGAAUUACUGGGCGUAAAGCGCGUGUAGGCGGUUGCCAAAGUCGGGUGUGAAAGCCUUGAGCUCAACUCAAGAAAUGCACUCGAUACUUGGUGACUAGAGGACCGGAGAGGAUAGUGGAAUUCCCAGUGUAGUGGUGAAAUACGUAGAGAUUGGGAAGAACACCAGUGGCGAAGGCGGCUAUCUGGACGGUUUCUGACGCUAAGACGCGAAAGCGUGGGGAGCAAACAGGAUUAGAAACCCGCGUAGUCC
rnacentral:rRNA from 1 species